AUUUCCGACAGCAAGCUGCCCGACAUGCAGGCGGGAUGGGAGCAGGGGAUUACCAACUCUCUCGCCGGCCUUGCGGGUCUGAACAUGUGCUACGAGGCGG
rfam:Rhodobacterales bacterium RIFCSPHIGHO2_02_FTLL_62_130 rifcsphigho2_02_scaffold_13, whole genome shotgun sequence.